UACGGAGGGGACUAGCGUUUUUCGGAAUUACUGGGCGUAAAGCGCACGUAGGCGGAUUAGUAAGUCAGGGGUGAAAUCCCGGGGCUCAACCUCGGAACUGCCUUUGAUACUGCUGAUCUCGAGUCCGGAAGAGGUGAGUGGAAUUCCUAGUGUAGAGGUGAAAUUCGUAGAUAUUAGGAAGAACACCAGUGGCGAAGGCGGCUCACUGGUCCGGUACUGACGCUGAGGUGCGAAAGCGUGGGGAGCAAACAGG
rnacentral:rRNA from 1 species